rnacentral:rRNA from 1 species
GAUGAACGCUGGCGGCGUGCCUAAUACAUGCAAGUCGAGCGAACGGACGAGAAGCUUGCUUCUCUGAUGUUAGCGGCGGACGGGUGAGUAACACGUGGAUAACCUACCUAUAAGACUGGGAUAACUUCGGGAAACCGGAACUAAUACCGGAUGAUAUUUUGAACCGCAUGGUUCAAAAGUGAAAGACGGUCUUGCUGUCACUUAUAGAUGGAUCCGCGCUGCAUUAGCUAGUUGGUAAGGUAACGGCUUACCAAGGCAACGAUGCAUAGCCGACCUGAGAGGGUGAUCGGCCACACUGGAACUGAGACACGGUCCAGACUCCUACGGGAGGCAGCAGUAGGGAAUCUUCCGCAAUGGGCGAAAGCCUGACGGAGCAACGCCGCGUGAGUGAUGAAGGUCUUCGGAUCGUAAAACUCUGUUAUUAGGGAAGAACAUAUGUGUAAGUAACUGUGCACAUCUUGACGGUACCUAAUCAGAAAGCCACGGCUAACUACGU